rnacentral:rRNA from 1 species
AUACGUAGGUGGCAAGCGUUGUCCGGAUUUACUGGGUGUAAAGGGAGCGCAGGCGGGGGAGCAAGUCAGUUGUGAAAACUAUGGGCUUAACUCAUAGAUUGCAGUUGAAACUGUUUCUCUUGAGUGGAGUAGAGGUAAGCGGAAUUCCGAGUGGAAAGGGGAAAUGUGUAGAGAUUCGGAGGAACACCAGUGGCGAAGGCGGCUUACUGGGCUCUAACUGACGCUGAGGCUCGAAAGUGUGGGGAGCAAACAGGAUUAGAUACCCUGGUAGUCCACACUGUAAACGAUGAUUACUAGGUGUGGGGGGUCUGACCCCUUCCGUGCCGCAGUUAACGCAAUAAGUAAUCCACCUGGGGAGUACGACCGCAAGGUUGAAACUCAAAUGAAUUGACGGGG